CAACUCUCAAGCUCUGCUUGGUAUUGGGUGUCACUUUGCAAUUGUGGUGCACCUUAAAAUCAGUGGCAGUGCCAUUUUGGCCUCAAGCGUAGUAAAAUAUCUCGCUUUGGAGGUCUUGAUGUGCGUUUGCCAGCAACUAAUUUUUGACGG
rnacentral:misc_RNA from 1 species